UUACACACCACUUCUCCCACAAUUCUACACACCAAAAAUUCUCUCCAUUCUCUAGUCUUCAAAAGCUCUGCGUCUCAACCAAGGAGGAGAAGAAGUCAUGCAAUACAUCAAGAUCCUAGCCGCCAUCCACCCUUGUGUCGUCCCUAGAAGAAUGCUUGCUUUCAAGGAUCUUCAAGUUCUUCGUCUCAAGGCUUGUCAUCCAUCUUUCACGGUGGUUAAAUUGCGUGUUUAGUUUUAGCGAAUCAUCUUUAAUAAAUCUGAGUUUCUUCUCUGGAGCUGCGGUCACUCUCCUCCUCGAUCAAAUCCGAGAAUCUGGCCGGGGAGAGUAAUUUUCAACUCAAAUGUUCAAAUCUUGGAUCCAUUCUGGCCCCGUGAAAGCAAUAGCGUAGAGAGCACAUGUUAGCUGCAUUUGUUGCACCCCUAGUCCAAUGUUGUUCACUGAUUCUCACAUUCUGCUCGGGAUAAUAAAUUUAGCAGGUCCCUCCAGUUUGAUUUGAUUGAGGGAACCUAUCACUGUUUGUUCUUCUCUUUUUUAAAUCAGUGUUCAUUAAGGACCUUCCCAGAGGUUACCCUCACC